UUAUGGCUCAGGAUGAACGCUGGCGGCGUGCCUAACACAUGCAAGUCGAGCGAUUCUCUUCGGAGAAGAGCGGCGGACGGGUGAGUAACGCGUGGGUAACCUGCCUCAUACACAUGGAUAACAUACCGAAAGGUAUGCUAAUACAGGAUAAUAUAAGAGAUUCACAUGGAUUUCUUAUCAAAGCUCCGGCGGUAUGAGAUGGACCCGCGUCUGAUUAGCUAGUUGGUAAGGUAACGGCUUACCAAGGCGACGAUCAGUAGCCGACCUGAGAGGGUGAUCGGCCACAUUGGAACUGAGACACGGUCCAAACUCCUACGGGAGGCAGCAGUGGGGAAUAUUGCACAAUGGGCGAAAGCCUGAUGCCAGCAACGCCGCGUGAGUGAUGAAGGCCUUCGGGUCGUAAAACUCUGUCCUCAAGGAAGAUAAUGACGGUACUUGAGGAGGAAGCCCCGGCUAACUACGUGCCAGCCGCUGC
rnacentral:rRNA from 1 species